CGAGAGCGAAAUCGUACUGAGACCGAGAGCGAAAAAGUACUGAGACAGAAGAGUCGACUCGACGAAAGCGAAAAAGUACUGAGACAGAAGAGUCGACCCAGCGAAUGCGAAAAAGUACUGAGACAGAAGAGUCGA
rnacentral:rRNA from 14 species